AGCAGCCGCGGUAAUUCCAGCUCCAAUAGCGUAUAUUAAAGUUGUUGCAGUUAAAAAGCUCGUAGUUGAAUUUCGGGAUCAAUUUAUCGGUCGUGCCAAUGGUAUGAACUGGUACAAUUGGUUUCUCCCUUCUGACGAAGCAUGAUGUCAUUAAUUUGGUGUCGUGGGGAAUCAGGACUGUUACUUUGAAAAAUUAGAGUGUUUAAAGCAAGCAUUAGCUUGAAUACAUUAGCAUGGAAUAAUGAAAUAGGACGUUUGAUCCUAUUUCGUUGGUUUCUAGGAUCGACGUAAUGAUUAAUAGGGAUAGUUGGGGGCAUUAGUAUUCAAUUGUCAGAGGUGAAAUUCUUGGAUUUAUUGAAGACUAACUACUGCGAAAGCAUUUGCCAAGGAUGUUUUACAUUAAUCAAGAACGAAAGUUAGGGGAUCGAAGACGAUCAGAUACCGUCGUAGUCUUAACCAAUAAACUAUGCCGACUAGGGAUCGGAUGAUGUUAAUUUUUAAUGUACUCA
rnacentral:rRNA from 1 species